AGGACGAACGCUGGCGGCGUGCUUAACACAUGCAAGUCGAGCGGAAAGGCCCUUCGGGGUACUCGAGCGGCGAACGGGUGAGUAACACGUGAGGAACCUGCCCCUAGCUCUGGGAUAGCUCCGGGAAACCGGGAUUAAUACCAGAUACGACCACUUUAGACAUCUGUUGUGGUGGAAAGAAUUUUGGCUAGGGAUGAGCUCGCGGCCUAUCAGCUUGUUGGUGAGGUAACGGCUCACCAAGGCGACGACGGGUAGCCGGCCUGAGAGGGCGACCGGCCACACUGGGACUGAGACACGGCCCAGACUCCUACGGGAGGCAGCAGUGGGGAAUAUUGCGCAAUGGGCGAAAGCCUGACGCAGCGACGCCGCGUGGGGGAUGAAGGCCUUCGGGUUGUAAACCCUUUCAGCAGGGACGAAGCGAAAGUGACGGUACCUGCAGAAGAAGCGCCGGCUAACUACGUGCCAGCAGCCGC
rnacentral:rRNA from 1 species